CUGCACUGCACAGAGGAAAUCAGCUGACCGAGGAGUGUUUCUGAGUGAGGGCGGAGGAGUCAUCAUCCAGGUAAAGUGACGUGGAUCAGUGGAUACACUUGUCUCCCCUUUAAAGGAGACGAUCCAAGUCAUCCUUAAAUAUGGGCAGCAUAUCAGUCUUGGACUGUGUAACCUGCCGGAGCAGCACUGAAUGACCACCACACAUGAGCAUGUUCCUGCAACAUUCAGCAUCUGAUCCUUCAUCUGUGUGCUUCUGCUUUUGUGUCACGUGUCAAACAGCUGGAGAGGAAACUACACCAGUGUACUGGGAUGUUUCAGCAACACGUGCCAGAUGCUGUUCCUUCAUGGUGACAUCACCAGAGACAGCCCCACCCACCUCAGGACCUCGCCAUUGAUCAUGAUGAUUAUAAUGAUGACAGCGAGCGGAACUAAGACUGUAAAAAUCCACGACCAGAAUGUUUCUUUCUAAUUAUGAAUGAAUAGUGAGAGCCUCUUUCUGUGUUUUGUCUGUUUUGGGUUUUUACCUCAUUUGUUACUAACAAAGUUCACAAGCUCACACAGUUUACAUUCUGUAUGUUUCCAUCUUUACCAGCCACACUCUAACUGCAUUUAAGAAAAUAAUCCUUAGAAAUCGUCGUUUUUCUCUUUUGUAAUUGAUGAUAAUUCAGUGAAUAUACUGCGCUGCUUCCUUCUAUUGCGUCACACAUUGCUUUAAGUUUUUCAGUGUCCAGUUAUUUUUUACUGCUGUUUGAAUUCUCUGUAUGUUUGACCCUGUAGACUGUUUGAUG